AAAAAAGCAAAGAUGAAUCUGAGAACGUGAUUGUUGAUAUUGCCGCUGGUGAUUGUUGAUUGAGAACCCCUGUGAAAUCCAAUGUGGGUUAAAAGCAAACGAACCCUGGAUUUGGUCAGGUUUUUUUUUUGUGGAUUGGAUCAAACCCUUCAGACAAUGAGAUGGCGAGCCUCCCAACCGAACUUCUGUGGAUUUGAGAGAUGCAGACAGAGUAAUCCUGAGCGUUCCAAUGGAUUAGUGCUUCUACUGAUCAGGUGGAAUCCAAUUCAUUGCAUAUAUUCUGAUCGGUAGGAUCUGACUUUUCCUUAAGCGAUUAUUUUGCACUAUUGACUUUUGCACACACUAACAUAUUUUUCCACUUGGGAUGACAAAGAAAUAUUCAUUUAUACACAGAAUGAGAAGUUAUUGACCGUUACAUUGUUGGAAUUGUGGAACUGUUUUCAAAUUGUUUCAAAUUGAACUAUUGUGAUAUUGUACUUUUCUUUUCACAUUUCAAUUGUUUUAAUUUGGGUUAAUCUUUUCUGUGAUCUUUUAUAUAAAGCGUUGAAAAGAAAUUAAAAACCUAAAGAUAAGAAGAGCUCUUAUUAAACUAAAAUUUAAUAAAACUAAAUAAAAAUAAACCAAAAUAGAAACUAAACAACUGAAAUAUAAAUCAAAUAAUUAGAAGCAAAUAGAAAAAAGUCUAUUUAAAUAGUGAACAGAGCUCAAAGAUACCAAAAAGAACAACAAGGGAUUGAAAAGAACAAUUAUUUUAUUUGUGUUCAUUUAUUUUUCUUCAAUUGUUGUUGUGGUUGUAUUACAUUUGUUUUUUAUUAUUAUUUUUGCACCAACAUAAUACAUUAAAUCAUUUCCAGCUAUUAUCUGUGUCCUUGUGUGCCUUGAUCACUUACCCUCCUGUAACGAACCUAAUCACUGGUCCAAUAUCAGGUGCUUAGAAUCACCUGUCCCUGUGUCAAGUAAUUCUUGCUACAC
ensembl:lncRNA